rnacentral:rRNA from 1 species
AGCGCAGGUGGUUUCUUAAGUCUGAUGUAAAAAGGCAGUGGCUCAACCAUUGUGUGCAUUGGAAACUGGGAGACUUGAGUGCAGGAGAGGAGAGUGGAAUUCCAUGUGUAGCGGUGAAAUGCGUAGAUAUAUGGAGGAACACCGGAGGCGAAAGCGGCUCUCUGGCCUGUAACUGACACUGAGGCUCGAAAGCGUGGGAGCAAACA